rnacentral:rRNA from 1 species
UGCAGUCGAGCGGACAGAUGGGAGCUUGCUCCCUGAUGUUAGCGGCGGACGGGUGAGUAACACGUGGGUAACCUGCCUGUAAGACUGGGAUAACUCCGGGAAACCGGGGCUAAUACCGGAUGGUUGUUUGAACCGCAUGGUUCAAACAUAAAAGGUGGCUUCGGCUACCACUUACAGAUGGACCCGCGGCGCAUUAGCUAGUUGGUGAGGUAACGGCUCACCAAGGCAACGAUGCGUAGCCAACCUGAGAGGGUGAUCGGCCACACUGGGACUGAGACACGGCCCAGACUCCUACGGGAGGCAGCAGUAGGGAAUCUUCCGCAAUGGACGAAAGUCUGACGGAGCAACGCCGCGUGAGUGAUGAAGGUUUUCGGAUCGUAAAGCUCUGUUGUUAGGGAAGAACAAGUACCGUUCGAAUAGGGCGGUACCUUGACGGUACCUAACCAGAAAGCCACGGCUAACUACGUGCCAGCAGCCGCGGUAAUACGUAGGUGGCAAGCGUUGUCCGGAAUUAUUGGGCGUAAAGGGCUCGCAGGCGGUUUCUUAAGUCUGAUGUGAAAGCCCCCGGCUCAACCGGGGAGGGUCAUUGGAAACUGGGGAACUUGAGUGCAGAAGAGGAGAGUGGAAUUCCACGUGUAGCGGUGAAAUGCGUAGAGAUGUGGAGGAACACCAGUGGCGAAGGCGACUCUCUGGUCUGUAACUGACGCUGAGGAGCGAAAGCGUGGGGAGCGAACAGGAUUAGAUACCCUGGUAGUCCACGCCGUAAACGAUGAGUGCUAAGUGUUAGGGGGUUUCCGCCCCUUAGUGCUGCAGCUAACGCAUUAAGCACUCCGCCUGGGGGAGUACGGUCGCAAGACUGAAACUCAAAGGAAUUGACGGGGGCCCGCACAAGCGGUGGAACAUGUGGUUUAAUUCGAAGCAACGCGAAGAACCUUACCAGGUCUUGACAUCCUCUGACAAUCCUAGAGAUAGGACGUCCCCUUCGGGGGCAA